rnacentral:rRNA from 1 species
CGAUUUUCGCAAUGCCCGAAAGGGUGACGAAGCGACGCCGCGUGUGGGAAGAAGGCCUUCGGGUUGUAAACCACUGUCGGGAGUUAGGAAAUGCAGGUGCGUUAAUAGCGCACUUGCUUGACUAAGGCUCCAGAGGAAGCCACGGCUAACUCUGUGCCAGCAGCCGCGGUAAUACAGAGGCGGCAAGCGUUGUUCGGAAUUAUUGGGCGUAAAGAGCACGUAGGCGGCCUUGCAAGUCAGUUGUGAAAGCCUUCCGCUUAACGGAAGAACGGCAUCUGAUACUACAGGGCAUGAGUACGGGAGGGGAGAGUGGAACUUCUGGUGGAGCGGUGAAAUGCGUAGAUAUCAGAAGGAACGCCGGCGGCGAAAGCGACUCUCUGGUCCGAAACUGACGCUGAGUGUGCGAAAACUAGGGGAGCAAACGGGAUUAGAUACCCCGGUAGUCCUAGCCGUAAACGAUGGGCACUAAGUAGAGGGGUUUU